AGAUUGAACGCUGGCGGCAGGCCUAACACAUGCAAGUCGAGCGGAUGAAGGGAGCUUGCUCCUGGAUUCAGCGGCGGACGGGUGAGUAAUGCCUAGGAAUCUGCCUGGUAGUGGGGGAUAACGUCCGGAAACGGGCGCUAAUACCGCAAACGUCCUGAGGGAGAAAGUGGGGGAUCUUCGGACCUCACGCUAUCAGAUGAGCCUAGGUCGGAUUAGCUAGUUGGUGAGGUAAAGGCCUACCAAGGCGACGAUCCGUAACUGGUCUGAGAGGAUGAUCAGUCACACUGGAACUGAGACACGGUCCAGACUCCUACGGGAGGCAGCAGUGGGGAAUAUUGGACAAUGGGCGAAAGCCUGAUCCAGCCAUGCCGGGUGUGGGAAGAAGGUCUUCGGAUUGUAAAGCACUUUAAGUUGGGAGGAAGGGCAGUAAGUUAAUACCUUGCUGUUUUGACGUUACCAACAGAAUAAGCACCGGCUAACUUCGUGCCAGCAGCCGCGGUAAUACGAAGGGUGCAAGCGUUAAUCGGAAUUACUGGGCGUAAAGCGCGCGUAGGUGGUUCAGCAAGUUGGAUGUGAAAGCCCCGGGCUCAACCUGGGAACUGCAUCCAAAACUACUGAGCUAGAGUAUGGCAGAGGGUGGUGGAAUUUCCUGUGUAGCGGUGAAAUGCGUAGAUAUAGGAAGGAACACCAGUGGCGAAGGCGACCACCUGGACUGAUACUGACACUGAGGUGCGAAAGCGUGGGGAGCAAACAGGAUUAGAUACCCUGGUAGUCCACGCCGUAAACGAUGUCGACUAGCCGUUGGGAUCCUUGAGAUC
rnacentral:rRNA from 1 species